CACAACCUGUUCCGGAUUUUUCUCAAAGGUUGAACUUUCAAAAGUUGUAAGAAAAAACUGAUUCAUGUGACUUAGAACAUGACACGAACUAAUAAGGUUACCAACACUGUGAAACCUUUCUUCCUUGUCCAUUCAAUCAUUGCCUCUUUCACUGCAGGAAAUGGUCCACGCCACCACAAUUUGCCUACAAUAAUAAAUAAGUACUUAUAUACAAAAUGACAAGCAAAUUAUGUAAUAUAAAGACCUAUUUUAUACACAAAUUUACAGAGAACUGAAACUUAGAAACAAUAGUCACUUUAAGACCAACUAUUGGACCGUGAAACAGUUACCACCCCAGUG